GUUGGGAAUCUUCGGCAAUGGGCGCAAGCCUGACCGAGCAACGCCGCGUGAGUGAUGAAGGUUUUCGGAUUGUAAAGCUCUGUCUUCCGGGACGAUAAUGACGGUACCGGAGGAGGAAGCCACGGCUAACUACGUGCCAGCAGCCGCGGUAAUACGUAGGUGGCGAGCGUUGUCCGGAAUUACUGGGCGUAAAGGGCGCGUAGGCGGCCGGUCAAGUCAGAUGUGAAAUCCCCGGGCUUAACCAGGGAACUGCAUUUGAAACUGGCGGGCUUGAGGGCAGGAGAGGAAAGCGGAACGCCCAGUGUAGCGGUGAAAUGCGUAGAUAUUGGGAGGAACACCAGUGGCGAAGGCGGCUUUCUGGACUGUCACUGACGCUGAGGCGCGAAAGCCAGGGGAGCGAACGGGAUUAGAAACCCGAGUAGUCC
rnacentral:rRNA from 1 species